rnacentral:rRNA from 1 species
CCACGGGGGGCAGCAGUGGGGAAUAUUGGACAAUGGGGGGAACCCUGAUCCAGCGACGCCGCGUGAGUGAAGAAGUAUUUCGGUAUGUAAAGCUCUAUCAGCAGGGAAGAAAAUGACGGUACCUGACUAAGAAGCCCCGGGUAACUACGUGCCAGCAGCCGCGGUAAUACGGAGGGGGCAAGCGUUAUCCGGAUUUACUGGGUGUAAAGGGGGCGUAGGCGGUGCAGCAAGUCUGAUGUGAAAGGUCGGGGGCCAACCCCGGGACUGCCUUGGAAACUGUUGAACUUGAGUACAGGAGAGGUACGCGGAAUGCCUGGUGUAGCGGUGAAAUGCGUAGAUAUUAGGAGGAACACCAGUGGCGAAGGCGGCUUACUGGACUGUAACUGACGUUGAGGCUCGAAAGCGUGGGGAGCAAACAGGAUUAGAUACCCCUGUAGUC